rnacentral:rRNA from 1 species
GACGAACGCUGGCGGCGUGCCUAAUACAUGCGAGUUGAGCGCUGAGGGUUGGUCCUUGUACCUACUGGGUUAGCAGCGAACGGGUGAGUAACACGUGGGGAAUCUGCCUUUGAGCGUGGGACAACUUUUGGAAACGAAUGCUAAUACCGCAUAAUAACUUUAAACACAAGGUUUAAGUGUGAAAGAUGCAAUUGCAUCACUCAAAGAAGAUCCCGCGUUGUCUUAGCUGGUUGGUGAGGUAAAGGCUCACCAAGGCGAUGAUACAUAACCGACCUGAGAGGGUGGACCGCCAACAUGGGAACGGGAACACGCCCAAAACCCCCACGGGGGCAGCAGUAGGGAAAUCUCGGCCAAGGAGCGAAGGCUGAACGAGCAAAGCCGCGGGAGUGAAGAAGGGUCUCGGGUCGUAAAAAUCCGUUGAUAGGGAAGAAAGUUGGUGAGAAUGGAAAGCUCAUAAAGUGACGGUAACUAAUCAGAAAGGGACGGCUAACUACGUG